UACGUAGGAGGCAAGCGUUGUCCGGAAUUACUGGGCGUAAAGCGCGUGUAGGUGGUGGGACAAGUCUGCUGUGAAAGCGCCUGGCUUAACCGGGCGAGGUCGGCGGAAACUGUUCGACUCGAGGACGGUAGAGGGGGGUGGAAUUCCCGGGUGGAGCGGUGAAAUGCGUAGAGAUCGGGAAGAACGCCAAGGGCGAAGGCACUCUGCUAGGCCUGAUUCGCGACUGACACUCAGGGACGAGAGCCAGGGGAGCGAAUGGG
rnacentral:rRNA from 1 species